GAUGAACGCUGGCGGCGUGCCUAAUACAUGCAAGUCGAGCGAAUGGAUUAAGAGCUUGCUCUUAUGAAGUUAGCGGCGGACGGGUGAGUAACACGUGGGUAACCUGCCCAUAAGACUGGGAUAACUCCGGGAAACCGGGGCUAAUACCGGAUAACAUUUUGAACCGCAUGGUUCGAAAUUGAAAGGCGGCUUCGGCUGUCACUUAUGGAUGGACCCGCGUCGCAUUAGCUAGGUGGUGAGGUAACGGCCCACCAAGACAACGAUGCGUAGCCGACCUGAGAGGGUGAACGGCCCAACUGGGACUGAGACCCGGCCCAGACUCCUACGGGAGGCAGCAGUAGGGAAUCUUCCGCAAUGGACGAAAGUCUGACGGAGCAACGCCGCGUGAGUGAUGAAGGCUUUCGGGUCGUAAAACUUUGUUGUUAGGGAAGAACAAGUGCUAGUUGAAUAAGCUGGCACCUUGACGGUACCUAACCAGAAAGCCACGGCUAACUACGUGCCAGCCGCCGCGGUAA
rnacentral:rRNA from 1 species